UUUUUUGGUAAUAAAAUUGGAAACAAAAUGAACAAUUUUUGGAAUGAUAGAAGGUUAGCAUGGCCCCUGUGUAAGAAUGGCAUGCAAAUUCAUGAAACGUUCCAUAAUUUU